rnacentral:rRNA from 1 species
UAGGGAAUAUUGGGCAAUGGAGGGAACUCUGACCCAGCCAUGCCGCGUGCAGGAUGAAGGCGUUAUGCGUUGUAAACUGCUUUUUAUAUGGGAAGAAAUAGUCCUUGCGAGGAAAGUUGACGGUACUAUAUGAAUAAGCACCGGCUAACUCCGUGCCAGCAGCCGCGGUAAUACGGAGGUGCAAGCGUUGUCCGGAUUUAUUGGGUUUAAAGGGUGCGUAGGCGGUUUAUUAAGUCAGUGGUGAAAGACGGUCGCUCAACGAUUGCAGUGCCAUUGAUACUGGUAGACUUGAGUAUGAUUGAGGUAGCUGGAAUGGAUAGUGUAGCGGUGAAAUGCAUAGAUAUUAUCCCAGAACACCAAUUGCGUAGGCAAGUUACUAAGUCAUAACUGACGCUGAGGCACGAAAGUGUGGGUAUCGAAACAGGAUUAGAUACCCGCGUAGUCCCUGAGCGGGCUGGCAAGGCGCAU